GAAAGAAAGGCAGAAGCAGGCGUCGCAGAGGAAGAAGAAACAUGAAGAGAAGAAAUAAAAAGAGUUAGCAGUUCGAUUUCGAUUCUGAUUUGGGUGUACGUUCGAUGAGAUUUGAGUGAGAUUGCAAAAGUUAGGAGUGUCUAUAAGAGGUAUGCAUGGCACAUCCAAGACAUGGGAUGUCUGGAUAUAGAAAGACAGGCUGAGUGAGUGAACUUACGUCUAUUGUAUUAUAUGUAAAUUUUUAACCGAAAAAACCUCUUGUUAAGGGGUAUGUUUUGUAAAUAUUUAUAAAUCAGAUUUUUUUAUAUAAUAAUGCGUUUUAUGGUUAAUUUUAACCUUAACACUGUAUUAUGGGGCCCGAAGUAGGAGGUGACGACCUCAUGCCAACUGGGGGUGUUACAUAUAUGUUCUUUUAAAUAUGAUUGUUA